rnacentral:rRNA from 1 species
CGCCUGUUUUAUCAAAAACAUGGCUUUUUGUAGAUGAUUUAAGGUCUGACCUGCCCAAUGAUUAUAUUUAAAUGGCUGCAGUAUUUUGACUGUACAAAGGUAGCAUAAUCAUUAGUUUCUUAAUUAGAAGCUGGUAUGAAUGGUUUGAUGAGAAGUUGACUGUCUCAAUUUAAUUGAUUUAGAAUUUUAUUUUUAAGUGAAAAAGCUUAAAUUUUUUAGGAAGACGAGAAGACCCUAUAGAGUUUAAUAUAUUUUUAGUUAUUAAUUAUUUGUUUUUAAUAUUUUUAACUUGUUAAUGUAUUUUGUUGGGGUGACGUGAAAAUUAAUUUAACUUUUUUAUAUUUUUACACUGAUUAGUGAAUUUAUGAUCCUUUCUUGGAUUACAAGAUUAAAUUACCUUAGGGAUAACAGCGUAAUUUUUUUUGAAAGUUCUUAUUGAUAAAAAAGUUUGCGACCUCGAUGUUGGAUUAAAAUUAAUUUUUGGUGUAGAAGCUGGAAAAUUAGGUCUGUUCGACCUUUAAAAUUUUACAUGAUCUGAGUUCAGACCGG